GUCUAUAGCCAUACCACCCUAAAUGUGCCUGAUCUCGUCUUAUCUUAGAAGCUAAGCAGGGUCGGGCCUGGUUAGUACUUGGAUGGAAGACUGAUCUUCAGAAGAGACGGCUCAGAGGCA
rnacentral:rRNA from 1 species